GUAGUCCACGCCGUAAACGAUGCUAACUCGUUUUUGGGUCUUCGGAUUCAGAGACUAAGCGAAAGUGAUAAGUUAGCCACCUGGGGAGUACGUUCGCAAGAAUGAAACUCAAAGGAAUUGACGGGGGCCCGCACAAGCGGUGGAUUAUGUGGUUUAAUUCGAUGAUACGCGAGGAACCUUACCAAGGCUUAAAUGGGAAUUGAUCGGUUUAGAAAUAGACCUUCCUUCGGGCAAUUUUCAAGGUGCUGCAUGGUUGUCGUCAGCUCGUGCCGUGAGGUGUUAGGUUAAGUCCUGCAACGAGCGCAACCCCUGUCACUAGUUGCCAUCAUUCAGUUGGGGACUCUAGUGAGACUGCCUACGCAAGUAGAGAGGAAGGUGGGGAUGACGUCAAAUCAUCACGGCCCUUACGCCUUGGGCCACACACGUAAUACAAUGGCCGGUACAGAGGGCAGCUACACAGCGAUGUGAUGCAAAUCUCGAAAGCCGGUCUCAGUUCGGAUUGGAGUCUGCAACUCGACUCUAUGAAGCUGGAAUCGCUAGUAAUCGCGCAUCAGCCAUGGCGCGGUGAAUACGUUCCCGGGCCUUGUACACACCGCCCGUCAAGCCAUGGAAGUCUGGGGUACCUGAAGUCGGUGACCGUAACAGGAGCUGCCUAGGGUAAAACAGGUAACUAGGGCU
rnacentral:rRNA from 1 species